rnacentral:rRNA from 1 species
GACGAACGCUGGCGGCGUGCCUAAUACAUGCAAGUAGAACGCUGAAGAGAGGAGCUUGCUCUUCUUGGAUGAGUUGCGAACGGGUGAGUAACGCGUAGGUAACCUGCCUUGUAGCGGGGGAUAACUAUUGGAAACGAUAGCUAAUACCGCAUAACAAUGGAUGACACAUGUCAUUUAUUUGAAAGGUGCAAUUGCUCCACUACAAGAUGGACCUGCGUUGUAUUAGCUAGUAGGUGAGGUAAUGGCUCACCUAGGCGACGAUACAUAGCCGACCUGAGAGGGUGAUCGGCCACACCGGGACUGAGACACGGCCCAGACUCCUACGGGAGGCAGCAGUAGGGAAUCUUCGGCAAUGGGGGCAACCCUGACCGAGCAACGCCGCGUGAGUGAAGAAGGUUUUCGGAUCGUAAAGCUCUUUUGUAAGUCAAGAACGGGUGUGAGAGUGGAAAGUUCACACUGUGACGGUAGCUUACCAGAAAGGGACGGCUAACUACGUG